rnacentral:rRNA from 1 species
CCUACGGGAGGCAGCAGUGAGGAAUAUUGGUCAAUGGACGCAAGCCUGAACCAGCCAUGCCGCGUGCAGGAAGACGGCUCUAGGAGUUGUAAACUGCUUUUUUAAGGGGGUAAACGCAGAUACGCGCAUCUGACUGAGAGUAUUGUACGAAUAAGCAUCGGCUAACUCCGUGCCAGCAGCAGCGGUAAUACGGAGGAUUCAAGCGUUAUCCGGAUUUAUUGGGUUUAAAGGGUGCGUAGGCGGUCGGAUAAGUUAGAGGUGAAAUCCCGGGGCUCAACCUCGGACUUGCCGUUGAUACUGGUAGUCUGGAGAGUGGUAGAGGUAGGCGGAAUGUAUGGUGUAGCGGUGAAAUGCUUAGAGAUCGUACAGAACACCGAUUGCGAAGGCAGCUUACCGGCGUACAUCUGACGUUGAGGCACGAAAGCGUGGGUAGCAAACAGGAUUAGAUACCCGUGUAGUC